rnacentral:lncRNA from 1 species
GGAAAUAUAACACGCAAAAUCUCUUUUUUUUCUUGGAUUUUUGAGUUAUAACACACUUUUUCAAAUACAAAAUAGAAAAUACAAUAACAAAAGACUCGAUAUUACUGUACAAAACUAGAAGGUAAAGACGACAUAAAAAGAAAAACUGACUCAACACAUAAAAAAUAAAAAAUAAAAAAUAUCCUUAUGCAACUCUUGAAUGAGCGAUCCUGACUGGAUGGUCCCGGGGUGUCUGUCAUGCUCAAACUCUGGUAAGUAGAUCCACACCUGUAUGAGGAAAUUAAGACCAAAUAAAUUUAAAGACCUAGAACAUUAUGUGAGACAAUAACACUUAUUGUUAGACACAUGCAAUACAUAAUUGAGACUAUUUUGGCAAAACGAAAGAUGAGAAUCAGGUAUGCAUAGUUUGGGAAGAUUGGAUACGUGCGAGAAUAAAAAAAAUAACUAAUUUGGAGAAAACAUAUUUUUUGUUACUUUUUUUUUUGAAAAAUGAUGGGAAAGUGCAAAAUCUUUUUGGAUUUUUCAUUUUAAUUUUUUUUGUCUUUUUCUUGGAAAAAAAUGUGAAAGAAAAAUAUAACUGGCCCUAAUUGCUUCAUUUUACACUUCACCCUCUUUUCUUUCUCAUUUACCCUCAGCCAUCAUUGGUCCGCCAAAUGACCCCUUUUUACCUUUGAAGAAUGGAACAUGUAGCACAUAAGAUGCAUCAGGAUGGUCUUUAAUGUUUGGGGUACACCUGUUCUAGAUGGAACCAACCCCUUUGUUGAGUCCCCAAAGUCAAAUGUACAUGAUGCAAACAAACGUGCCUACUAGGGAUCCGGCAUGAGAUUAUGUUAUUCUAGAUUUAAGAUGUGGGUGUAUUGUUCUAGACCUGGCUUAUCCGAGCGGACAACUCGAGCCGGGGAGGGGGAGGGGGCAGCAUACCAGGAAUACAGAAGCUUCACCGGCUUUGCAACUUAUCCGAACCUCGUUCUAAAAUUGGGAUAUGACUGUAACAGAAAAGAAGUCACACGAAGUGCAUGCUUCCCAUAUGAUUUAGACGACUCAGAGAGAAGAGGCUUUCGUAACAGAUUAUAUACAGUUCAAUCAAUAUCAAAGCGGCAUCUAGCACAUUAGGCUCAAACACGUAAAAAUCAGAUAAUAAACAAAAGCCAACUAUAAUAGUUAUUCUAAGCUCAAAUUCUGAACCCUGAACCAGAAGUUCUGAGUUCUUUUCCCUAGCUGAGUCGCCAGAGCUGUCACAACUCCUUUUUCUAUCCCGAAAGGGGUACAUGGCAGUUUUUCCAAUUAAAGUGACAAUAAUCGAAACGAGAUUAUUUAUUCAAAUUCAGAGUCGCCACAUGAGAUAAUUUAUGGUGUCCCAAGUCACCGGUUUAAAAUUCCGAAUCGAGGAAGUUGACUCUUAUUUACGGUCUGCAAAUACAGAAAUCUGGGUAAGGAAUUUUGUUAACCCGGAAGAAGGUGUUAGGCAUUCCCGGUUCCGUGGUUUUAGCACAAUCACUCAACUAUUAAUAUUGCCUAAUUAUCUGAUUUAAUACAUCUUUAAAACCUAUGUGCAUUUUAUUCUUUUUAACCGCUUUUAACAUUUAUGGAACAAAACGACUGUCAUACACUUGCGAACCGCGUCACAUGAAAAACACCCGCGAUUUACAAUUUAUUUAUUUUUAUUACUAUUUGAAGUUGUAUCUUGGUCACAUGAAAUGCAAACCCGAAUUGGGAUUUACGUAUCAUAACUAUGCCCCGAGAACCGUACCCAUAUUCACGAUAAUUUAUUAUUGGUCUCGCAUAAAGCAAACUACGAUGUUCAUAUGUUCGUAAGAUUUUGAGAUUAAUGAACUCUAUGCAAAAUGGGUGAACAAAGCAAUAAUCUCGGAUAGUUUGGAUGGAUGUGUAUGAAUCAAAGUUAGCAUUACAGAAGCAGAAUUCAACAUUGGAGAAGAACAAUGGAAACAUCUGUAGGCUAAGAACUAGAGACAUUGUUGUUCUCCAAAUGUCAAAAGAACUGGAACUACUACAUCGACAAUGUCCCUACUUAAACAAGCCAUAUCCACAUAGUUUCUGCCUAAAUUUGGCCUAACAGAAAAGAGAACAUAUACUUAACUAUACUUAUAUUACAAUUGAAACAAAUAAGCAGAAGCUAAAUUAUGGAGUGAGUUAUUAAAUCCAAAAUACGAGGCAAAAUAAAACUAACAUGAGAAUGGUCCAUAUUUCAACAAUCAACAUUAUGUAUUUCAUUUCAAAUUUGCAUUCCAGAACGUAGGAUCACAUUAGACAAAACUAUUCAACACAUGUACUAAUUUAAGUAAUGAAUCAUGACAAACAAAAUAGCUACAGAGAUUAACUAAAACAAGAUUUGAAAUAUAGCCAAAACCGAAACUAUUCAAGCAAAGAGAUCAAGUUAGGGGUGAACCUUCAAAGUAGAAAAGAGGAGCCUUAGACAGAAAGAAAAAAGAAGCCUCAACAGCGACGGGAACUCGAACACGGCAUUCCAAACUCGCCGGAAAAACCCAAAUCUCGACAACAACGAAUUUGGUGGGUGUUUAGAUCUAAUUUCGGGAUUGAUUUCAGCCGGGUUUCGCAGCUAAUUUUUCUUCUUUUUAGGACUAUUUUAUUGCGUUUCAAAGCUGGAGUUCUUGGCCGUUUUCAUGGCUUUUCAAGGAUGGUUUGAAUGUUAUUUUGAGCUGUUUUGUGGUUUAAUGUUGAGACUUUAGUUUUAAUGGAAAUCUGAAGAGAAAAUUUCUCUUGAAGAAAAAGAAGGUGCGGCUGAUUUUUGUUUGAUGAAAGGCCAUCCGCGAGCCCCUAUUUCUCAUCCAUCCUCCUCUUUCUCGUCACUUUCUCUACCCAUUCUCUAUCUAUAUCUGUGUGGAGGGGUGAGUCAUUUGGUGUGAGGUUGUGUUGUGAGCAGCUCGACUGCUUAAGGGUGUUGUUUGAAUGGAGUAGAAGAAGUUCAGGGGGAGGGCGUUCUGUGUAUGUGUUCAUGGCUGGUUUGUAUUAUGGGUGAAGAGGUCUUGGUCACUGAUGAGGUGAAGAUGAUGAAGGAAUACAACUGAUUUCCUUUAGGUCGUAGGGUGUCCCCUUUUAAGAAUUAGGUCUCUUAGGUCAUAGGGUUGGGUCAAUUGGGUAUUGGGCUUGGAUUUAUGGGCUAGAAACUUGGGCCUUUAUGGCUAAAUUUGCUUAAAAUUAGCCUAAUUAACUAAAAAU